UUGGAGGUUUCUAACUCUAAAACUACCUUUUAAACCGUGGGCUUUAAUUGCAGCCCAAGUAAAGCCCACAGGAGUCUAUAAAUAGACCCCUUAAGUUGCAAACCCUAGCCCCCAUUAAUCUCCAAACCCUAAAAACGAAUUUCUUCACUCAAAGAACUUGAUUUCUUCUUCCUAACAAGUCCGGAUGCGAUUCAUUCCGCUAAGAAUAUGAUUUUACAUCCUACUCGCAAGAUCUACGCGAUUUCUACGUUGUGUUCUUCGUUGGAGGCUUGUGGAUUAAAUUAAAUUCGGUCCAGCCCCUUGAACCUUGGGUUAAUACAUUAUUUAUCUUAUUGUUCAUCAUCCUUAGACACGUCGACUGCUCGUGCUUCGGAGUCGAAACAGGUUUAGUUGCUUGCCAGGUUUUUCACGUGGAUUUGCAAGCAGUUUAUGAUUUGAAAGCUGGUCCACUCCGAUUCUUUUGAUUCCUCGGAGGUUUUUAUGUUAUUUAAACUAGUUUCUGUUUUCAAACUCUUAGACCGCAGUAGAACUAGUAAUUUAUUUCAUUUGAUUCUACACUUUGGGAUUGUCGAUAUAUUCGAUUAUUAUAUUUGGCAUGAUUACUCUGGAUUACGAUAUUGUUAUAUAUAAGGCAUGAUGUUGAACAUUUAA